CCUGCCCAGUGAACCAAUUUAACGGCCGCGGUAUCUUGACCGUGCAAAGGUAGCAUAAUCAAUUGUUCUUUAAAUAAGGACUAGUAUGAACGGCACCACGAGGGUUUAACUGUCUCCCUAUUUUAAUCAAUGAAAUUGAUCUUCCCGUGAAGAAGCGGGGAUACAACUAUAAGACGAAAAGACCCCAUGGAGCUUUAAACUUAUUUUCAAUUACCAAAGCCCAAAACAUAUACCUGGUAAAAAUGAUAAACGUUUUCGGUUGGGGCGACCCUGGAGAAAAAUAAAUCCUCCAAGCUGAAUAGACUAAAAUCUAAUGUUAGAACAACAGUUCAAACAAUCAAAACCUUGACAAAAUGACCCAGAAUUUAUCUGAUCAACGAACCAAGUUACCCUGGGGAUAACAGCGCAAUCCAUUUCAAGAGCCCUUAUCGACAAAU
rnacentral:rRNA from 1 species